AACAAGGCGUACCUGCGGACCUGCGGAGGGAUCAUUACUGAGUCACGUGCUCAAACAACCCUUCUGUGGACCUGAAAUAAAACCGUUGCCUCGGCGGGCGGUCCCCCCCAAACCAACCCCACGUGGUGGGUUAGGGGAGACCAGACAGUCCGGUACGCUUAAGGCGUCCGGCGCCAGCCGCUGGCCCCAAACAAUUAAACUCUAGUAAUCUUUACCUUCUGAGUUUCAAUAUUUAAAAAU
rnacentral:misc_RNA from 1 species